ACAAGUGUAAAUCGUCAUUGCUGCGGUUAAAAAGCUCGUAGUUGGAUCUUAGUUACGUACUUUGAUUCGCCUUUGGCGUUAAUCAUUGUCGUGACUAUUUUGUUGGUUUUCUGUUGGUGGCUUCGGCUCCUUCAGUGGCUAGCGAGUUUACUUUGAAUAAAUUAGAGUGCUCAAAACAAGCGUUUGCUUGAAUGCUCGAUCAUGGAAUAAUAAAAGAGGACUUCGGUUCUAUUUGUUGGUUCAGGUAACUGAAUUAAUGGUUAAGAGGGACAACUCGGGGGCAUUCGUAUCCCUGCGCGAGAGGUGAAAUUCGUGGACCGCAGGGGGACGCCCUAAAGCGAAAGCAUUUGCCAAGAAUGUCUUCAUUAAUCAAGAACGAAAGUCAGAGGUUCGAAGGCGAUUAGAUACCGCCCUAGUUCUGACCGUAAACUAUGCCAUCUAGCGAUCCAAUGGGGUAUUGUAGCCUUGUUGGGGAGCUUCCCGGAAACGAAAGUCUUUCGGUUCCUGGGGUAGUAUGGUUGCAAAGCUGAAACUUAAAGAAAUUGACGGAAGGGCACCACCAGGAGUGGAGCCUGCGGCUUAAUUUGACUCAACACGGGAAAACUCACCCGGCCCGGACACCGUUAGGAUUGACAGAUUGAAAGCUCUUUCUCGAUUUGGUGGUUGGUGGUGCAUGGCCGUUCUUAGUUGGUGGAGCGAUUUGUCUGGUUUAUUCCGAUAACGAGCGAGACUCUAGCCUGCUAAAUAGUGUCCAGAUAUAUAAGUCUGGCUUACUUCUUAGAGGGAUAAGCGGUGUUUAGCCGCACGAGAUUGAGCGAUAACAGGUCUGUGAUGCCCUUAGAUGUUCGGGGCUGCACGCGCGCUACACUGGAAGAAUCAGCUGGUCCUUCCAUUGCCGAAAGGUAUUGGUAAACCGUUGAAACUCUUCCGUGACCGGGAUAGGGAAUUGUAAUUAUUUCCCUUGAACGAGGAAUUCCUAGUAAGUGUGAGUCAUCAGCUCACGUUGA
rnacentral:ncRNA from 1 species